GUGGAGAAGAGAGCAGUGAUAACUGAAGGAGAAGACUGAGAGACAUAAUUAGAGCAAAGUUAAAAGGGGAAAGGAGUAUAAAGGCCCAAACAGCAGUGAUGAACGCGGCUCGGAUUCACGACAAGCAGAAGCUGAUGUCAUUUUGGGAGCAGAAGAUCGUUCAGCAUGGCGAGCAGGUGGACGGGGAGGAGGACCGCAGGAGGAGCAGCGCGCUGCCAAGUCUGAGGGAGCAGUGGUUGGUCCGGUUGGAUCAGAGGAACCAGCACCAGCAGAGUUUCUUCGAGGAGAGAACGAAACGUGCUCGGAAAGCUCAGCAGAACCUCGAGAGGCUGGAUUCCCCCUAAAACAGAUCGAGCUGGAGAACAUUACCACGUCUCCUCCACCAAUCGGCUCGCAGUGGAGGUUCAGCUGCUCAGGAGGCAUUUGUAGUAAUGCAAUUUGGACAAAUACACAUGAAUCAGAUAUUUUGAAGCUCAGUUCAGCUUACAAGAUCUUUGUCACAGAUGGAGAAAAUUAUUUUCAAUGUCUCAAUAAGAUCAGCUUUAAUGUAGAAUUCUAUCAAAAUAUGUUAAUAACAAGUUAUUGUGUGAUAUUGUCAGCGUAAGAAGAAGAAGACAGAACCAUAAUUAUGUAUUCACGUCAGCAUUCUCUCGGUUUCAAACCACACACAUGUGGUGCUGUUCGGUAAUUCUCGAUUCACAGGUGGAUUUUGGGUGGUGCAAAACAACCUGUGUUUGGAUCAUGUUUGGAGGGCAGAUUUUGGGUGCACCGUUGAACACACUUCAAACAGGGCCGUAACAGAAUAAAGCUCAUCUUUAACCGUCUUGAUUAUGUUUUAACAGUCGCAACUGUUUCCCAAAGUCAUCGAGUUGUAUUUCUAGAUGUGAGGUCGGAGCCGGCGACUGCACAUACAAAGCUACUAUCGCUCGACACACUUAGUGUAUAGAAAAAUACAAUAUGAUAUUACGCAUCAUCUACCCUUUACUGGCACGCAGAAACAAUAAAAGAAGACAGCACGAGUAUAGAGCUAAAUAACACAGUAAAUAAAUGAGGAAUAAUUGUGUUAAAUAAAAAAUGGACUAAAGAAAAUAUUAUGUUUGUAUUGUUGGACACUAAAAACAUACAG